CAGCAGCCGCGGGAAUACGUAGGGUGCGAGCGUUAAUCGGAAUUACUGGGCGUAAAGCGUGCGCAGGCGGUUCGUUAAGACAGAUGUGAAAUCCCCGGGCUUAACCUGGGAACUGCAUUUGUGACUGACGGGCUAGAGUAUGGCAGAGGGGGGUAGAAUUCCACGUGUAGCAGUGAAAUGCGUAGAGAUGUGGAGGAAUACCGAUGGCGAAGGCAGCCCCCUGGGCCAAUACUGACGCUCAUGCACGAAAGCGUGGGGAGCAAACAGGAUUAGAUACCCCAGUAGUCCCUGUCUCUUAUAA
rnacentral:rRNA from 1 species